rnacentral:rRNA from 1 species
GAUGAACGCUAGCGGCAGGCCUAACACAUGCAAGUCGAGGGGUAACUAGAGUGAUAGCAAUAUUACUUUGACUAGACCGGCGCACGGGUGCGUAACACGUAUGCAACCUACCUUAUACUGGGGAAUAACUUCGAGAAAUCGGCGCUAAUACCCCAUAACAUUGCGAAGAGGCAUCUCUUUGCAAUUAAAGCUCCGGCGGUAUAAGAUGGGCAUGCGUCCAAUUAGCUAGUUGGUGAGGUAACGGCUCACCAAGGCUACGAUUGGUAGGGGUUCUGAGAGGAUGAUCCCCCACACUGGUACUGAGACACGGACCAGACUCCUACGGGAGGCAGCAGUGAGGAAUAUUGCGCAAUGGACGAAAGUCUGACGCAGCCAUGCCGCGUGCAGGAUGACGGCCCUAUGGGUUGUAAACUGCUUUUGUACGGGAAUAAACCCUUCUACGUGUAGGAGGCUGAAGGUACCGUAAGAAUAAGCACCGGCUAACUCCGUGCCAGCCGCCGCAGUAAAAC